GAGUGCCAGCUUGUGAGAGAGUGGCAGCCUGAUGCCUGCACCCUGGGCCACUGAGUGUUAUUGCACCAUAUUGCAAAUUCUCCUCACUAGAAAGGGUACUUCCAAAGCUAUCUUGUGCUGAGUGUGUUCUGCAAUGGGUAUGGCUUAUCCACCACAUCCUCUCUCUCCCUGAUGUUUGUUCGAUGUUUAUAUGCCAACAGUUUUGACCGCUGAUAACUGAGAAAAUGUUUACAAAUGACAGUACUAGAAAGAAAACCAUGAAGAGCAACAUAAUGGAUGUCAAAAGUUAAGUUUUGUAGGAGCUUGAAAAUUCCUCAGAAAAAAAUGGUCAUGGAUAAGAAAAGAGAAGGAGAAAAUCAGCAGGCAAGAGACUGGUGGGAGUCCUUUGACACAUGAGGAGCCUAAACUAACAUUGUCGUCUGAGAGGACCUCCAGACAACUGUAUGAAUGGGGCUGAAGGAACAUGACAGGUCACGACUUCAGAGAAUGCAGAGAGGAGUGAAGAGCCAUUUGCCAAAGUACAAAAGAGGGAAUGUGAUUCCACAGGAUCUGUGCCAUAAAUAACCCUUAUGGCUCUUAUUCAAUUAGCGCUCCCUUUUCCAAGAGGACAAUCAAUGCUGCCAAACUGGGUAGGUAUGAUUAUUUUAUUUCUCCUACUGAAUGGUAAGCUCUUUUAACAAGAGAUUCUAUGUCUCAAUUAUAUUUGACUUCCUUAGGAGUCUACUACAGAGUCAUGCCAAAAACUUCUUAAAUGAAUGAAUGAAUGGAUUUCUGAAUGAAACAGACUAGUCACCAUCUCUGACAUGUCACUGUCAUGUGUAAUAAGGGUCUCUAGUGGACUAGUAACAAAAAUCCCACAUAGGUUGGGGUUCUCUGAUUUAUGUCUUCUCAUCACUUCAGAAUAUCUAGAUCUCACUUUCAGUCCAAUCAAAGUCUCCCACAAACUGAAUAUGUUGCCCACCAAAAAGGAGAUUCAGAAAUUAUUCCUUCCUCACCUAGGCAAUAUAGAUGAGUUUAUACAAAGAAAGUGACACCUUCAAGGGAGCCUAAUGGAGCAUUAUCUCCCCCUCUAAGAGGACAGAAGGAGAGGCAAGGCAGUGUGUUGGGUCUGGCCCAGGUUUAUCAGGUUUGAUUUUCCUUUCACUCAACACUCAGAGAGAGAGAGAGACCAACACUGGGCACCUUUGCAGGAAACUGCAGUGAUUUUAGCAGAGUAGAAAGUGGAAGAGUGAAAUGUUAUUACUAUAACAACUGACACCAUAAUUGUUCCUCAGAGAACAACUGUCUUUGCUGAGUAAAUACCUUGAUAAGCAGCUUACUUUGGAGGGUGAGUCAUAAGAAUAACAAAGAGAUAGAUAGCUAUCCUAUAUGAGAAAGCAAGAGCAAUGUGUUUUGUUACUGAAAGGUGAAAAAGAGAAAGGAUCUAAGACCUAAGGUGGAAAGGAGAGAGGAACUAGGAUGUAGGAUGAAGCUCUGGAGUAAUACCACUUGUGAAAGUUCUCCAGUGGUGGGGCAAAGACAUUUUUAAGAAUGAGGACAGUCUCAGGUUCAACACUCUUGAUAUGGCUAUACUUUAAAAUCCUCUUGUUAUACCUCAAAGUUUCUUAUUAAAAUCUACUAAUCACAAAAGAAAAUUGCUUUUAGGCAUAGAAACUGUGAAAACAAAGAGAAGAUUUAAUGUUUAGGUUGCUAUUUUGUGUCUUAAAUUUUGUUUAGGUUGAUAUUAUGAGAAACAAAAAUAGCAUAAAAGGGACAAUGAAACUACCCAUAAAGGAAGCAAGAGUUUAGAACCAAUGCUAAUGAAGAGAAAAUAAUUUCCCUAGAAAUUCCCUAGUAAUCCUGGGGAGUUUUUUUGAUCUCUCACAGAUGUGGAAUUGGAGCUUUGAGUCCAUCUUAUCUAGAUCUCAAGAGAAAGAAGGGCCCAACUAACAUCAAGGUUAUGGGCGAAUAACAAAAAUCUGUGUACAUUGGCAUUCUCUGGUUCACGCCCACUUAUUUUCAUAGAAUCAAAGGAUCUCACAUUCACUCCCAAAAAAGUCUCGCUAAAUCUUUCUAGAUGUUCCUCAGACACAUUCCUCAUGUAUGCCAGAAUAAGACUAUCUGCCACUACUUGGUGACCGUCACUUUUCCUCUUUCCGUGCUUGCCUCAUGGAAGUGACUUCUCACUGCCAGCACUACCUCUUACCACAGGUGUUGCUUCCAAUGGCUAUCCCCUUCUCCCCUGACCAAAGUCACAUCCCAAUUAAGUCAUUCUUUCUAAAGUGUGGAGAUUCCACAUGUUUUAAUUAUCCGAGGCUGUGUAAAAAACCACCCCAAAACUUAGUGGCUUAAAACAACAACUUAUUAUUUCUCAUGAUCCUGUGGGUUGACUGAGCAUUUUUUCCUGCUUCAUGUAGUGUCAGAGGCUAGGAUGCUAGAAGAUCAAAAAUGGCCUCGUUGACAAUGGCUGGCACUUAGUGCUGGCUGGAGGCUAAGAACUCAGUUAGGGCUGGAGGCUGGAGGCUUUGGUUUUCCUCCAGUGGGUCUUAUCCUGUGGUUUCUUGGGCUUCCUCACAACAUGGUGGCCGAGUUCCAAGAAAAGUGAAAGGGGAAGCUGUAGAUCUCUUAAGGCCGGGCAUUAGAAGUUACAUAACAUCACCUCUGCAAUAUUCUAUUGGUAAAAUCUAAAGAAGGGAAAAAUACAUUCCAUUUCUUUAUGGGAAAAAAGAAAAGAAAGGAAGAAAGAAAAAUUGCAGUCAUCCUUAACUUACUACACCAUCCUACUCUGCGUGCACACACACACACACACACACACACACACACACUCCAGUGCUGUACUCUCUCACACUGAAUCUCUAAGCACCCCUCUACUUCCAACCUCUUGCAGAGAGUCUAUAUGAGAACCACAAGUCUAUUUCUAUUGGCAGCACCCUAAGGCUUAGAAAACAGAAGAGGAGAGUCUGGUAGCAGCACCAGUCUGCUGAAUUGAUCCCUCCCUGCCAAGCAGUCUCCUGCCUAAACUCCCUUGCUUUUCAGCCCACAUUUCCUCCUUUGACCAGCCCGUUUAUCACAGGGUUUCUGCUGCACUGGCUUACUCAAAAAAGCAUGAGUUCACCUUAAUCAGAAAGAUAUGCAUGUGCCAUCUUUGAUAAGGGGCUAACUAUGAAAUGUCUCUGCUAUGUAUCCACUAUUGGCACAGAGGCGACAGACUCUUCAAAGUGUUCAUGAUGGUCACAGAUUACUGCAACUCCCUGAAUCUAACUCAGCACAGCAAUUCGGCUCUCUGGAAGUAUGCCUCAACUACCUCAACCUGAACUACUUUAGAAGGACUCCCAGUGGGUCAAGGUCCUGAACUGGUGCAAUUCCAAAAUUUUCUGGUGCGUCCAGGAAGCUAAGAAGGUGAAAAAUCACACAGCUACACUUACCCCCCCAAAACAAAUUCCCAGCAUGGUACAGUCCCUGAUCAGCCUGUGUCUAGAUCCAAGACUAGCAAAAAAUCCUAGGGGGUUAAAAAAAAGGUAGAAGAUAGAACUGAAUGAGGAAGAAGAGGAGUGUAGCAUUUCUAAUUCCCACCUUGUCCUCAGCAUAGAAGUUUAAAACUGCUAACAUUGCAAAAGGAUGACUUUCCUCCUGUUCCCUGUCCAGACAACCAAGAUUCUGACCUGACCAACUGCUAAAACCAUACCCCAAGGACAGUUACCAAUUAAGCAAAUUAAGCCAGAGAUAAGGUACAGUCUUUCCCCAGUCCACACUUCAGGAUUCAAACUGCUCCUCUCCACCCUCAACUUUCAGAAGAAACACAGUCAAGGAGAAGAGCACUUGAUGACAACCAAAGGGACAAUGAGUUUCUUCCCACGGUAGCUUCCCACCAACUCCUGACUCCGAGCUUCACUGUGUUUUGUUAUGAAUAUUAAAAAGGAAAAGGUGCUAUCAGCAAGAGCAGGGUGUUUGUGAUAAAUUACUGUCUUGGCUUCUAUUGAUUAAUUGCAAUUCAUUAUUCAGACAGGUGAUGGGCAAUUCAUGUUACUCCCACUUCCUGGAGAUGAUCAGCAGCCAGAUCUUCCAAACAGCUAAGUGAAAAAACAGGAACAACUCAGGACAGUGAAUGGUGUGUUGCUGAAUGCCCUGUUUCAUUAGUUCUCCCUAUCAUCAUCUCAUGGAGAAGCAAAUUUCCAAUUCAGAUGAAUCUGUAUCAUCAUCUGAAAGCAGGAACAGCAAAAUACGUUUUUCCUUAAUGAGAAAAAGUAGUGCAAAUCUGAAGAAGCACAGUGUCCCAACUGCACACCUUUGCUGCUGCUCUCAGGUCUGAAGGUCAUGUCCUUUCCCCUCCCUGUCUCCCUCGACCCUUCUCUUUAUUCAUCCAACUCAUUCUCAGACUUCUCUCCAAAAGCCACUCUAACUCCACAAGUGAGGCCAGCACUUUUCUUCUGCACCCCUCUAUCCCCCGUUCUCACCUCCACUGCUGCACUUGCCCCGAUGUAAAGUUACUCAGUCAUGGUCAUGUGUCUCUCCAGAACAGGAGGCCGAUAAAGAUUAGCGCUGUGUCUUUCUCUGCUUGCGUCACUAGAUCCUGAUCCCCUCUCUGGCACAUACAAAGUAUUGAAUCCACAUUGAACUGAGCUGAACAGACAUCUAACAUACUAUUUAGUGACUUUUAGCAUCCUCUGCCUUCUCCUUGAUGGUAGCAAAUCAGUUAUAUUAUUAUGUUUCAUAGUCAUGAGGUUAAAUUAAAUGCAUCUCAAAGAAGUUUUGAGCCUGCCUGAUCUCUGCUCUCUAAAAUAAUGUGGGUGAACAUUACAGCAGCAAUACUUUUCUAUUACUUUCUUGACUCAGUCUUUGAGUCGCUUUUCCAGUAAGAAGUAUCCUUUGUUAAGGUAUCCACAGUCUCUCCUGAGUUCUUAUUGCGCUAAAGCCAGAUGUUUGCAAGUUAUAUGGCCAUUCUGGGAACGCUGUCCCACAGAUUGACAGGAUAAACUUACAACUUGCCCUCACCAACACUUUACAUACAUGCUCCCACACACAUGUAUAUGUGUACAAGAGUGUGCCCAUUUGCAGAUAGUUUCUGAAUUUAUCCUUGAAAAGCCCCCAUAAAGCUUCUCAGAAUUAUAAGGACUCUCAAUUACAUUUCAAAUACACAGAAUUUUUUUAUUUUAAUAUUUUUAAGACCACACCUGUAGCACAUCGAAGUUCCUGGGGCUAGGGGUUGAACUGGAGCUGCAGCUGCCAGCCUACACCACAACAACAGCAAUACUAGAUCUGAGCAGCAUCUGUGACCUAUGCAGCAGCUAGUGGCAACACCAGAUCCUUAACACAAUGAGCAAGGUCAGGGAUAGAACCCAAGUCCUCAUGGACACUAUAUUGGGUUCUUAACCAGCUGAGCCACAACAGGAACUCCCGAAUUUUUUUUUUUUAUUUUUUUUAUUGUGCUCAAAAGAAUUAUUUUCUGCUUACCUUCCUUUCAAAGUCACUGAUGCUAAACUUCAAGGCCUGGGUGUUCCCAGGUAUCUUCUGGUGAAUUUCUUUUUUUACCUGUCAAGUUUUCCAAAGUCAAGGGUAACUCAAGGAGGUCCCAUUGUGGCUCAGCAAUAACAAACCCAGCUAGUAUCCAUGAGGUCUCUAUCCCUGGCCUCGCUCAGUGCGUUAAGGAUCUAACCUUGCUGUGAGCUCCGGUGUAGGUUGUAGAUGCUGCUCAGAUCUAGAGUUGCUGUGGCUAUGGUAUAAGCCUGCAGCUGCAACUCCGAUUCGACCCCUAGCCUGGGAACUUGCACAUGCUGCAGAUGUGGCCCUAAAAAGACAAAAAAAAGCGGGGGGGGGGGUAACUCCACAAAGGCACUGCACCCUUCUUCUGGCAUUCCAGUAGAUUGGGAUGGAUUACAUAGAUUCUCUGCCUCUGGGUUGGACGAUUAUGGCCCUGAAGGUAGAUACCCUCAGAUGAUGUAAGGUGUACAUAGUAUGUGGUACCCUUACUUUCCUCCAAGGUGUUCUUAUUUAAAGUAAGGGAGGCAGCAAGAAGUCUCAGAAGAUACUCCAGACUGGGAGUCAGGAGAACUGUCUCAAAUAUUUUACAGAAGGAAGUGGUACAUGAAUACGUAAAUAGGUAAGUAGGUAGAUAAGUAAAUAAACAGAAUUUCUCUACUAACCAGCACUCUGAGAUUAGGCAAGUCAUCCCUCCCCUCUGGGCCUUAGUGUCUGGUUCUCUAAAAUGAGGGGGAAGGCGUUGGACUGGUUGGUCACCAAGCUGUGUUCAAGGCUUCUAGUCUACGAUGUCAUCUGUGAAUAGCUUUCCUUCCUCCCGCUUUCCCAUUCUCACUGCCGGUAUGUCUCCUCAUUCCCCACCAUCCUCUCCCAUGGAUCUUUCUCCUCAAGGUGACUUUAGAUCUGCUGAGAUCUGCUUCCUUACAUUUCAUUCGUUUAUGGCCCUGGAAUUCUAUCACUCCUCAGUCCAUGGCCCUUCUCCAUGGUGGCCGUUUGCCCUUCAAUCUUUAAAUGCUUUCUUCAUGUUAACAAGAAGCAAAGAAAAGCCCCUGACUCCCUUAUUUCCGGUAGCGAACAGUUCUGAAGUGACCUGAAAAGUUAAUGUAACUUCCUCAAAUGCCUCACGCAUGGACCUACAGAGAAGUGAAGCCGCUGGCUCACCCUGGCUCUCAGUCAUCUGUUUUUAAUUGCAUCUGUCCCCGUAUUAGCCAUGGGCUUCAGUUUCACAGCCUGGGAUGAGCCAUUCAGGGAAACCACCUUCCCCGUCUUCCCCAAACACCUCCAGCCUGAAAGGAGCCGUCAUGGAUAGCAUCUCACGUUGAUAGUUUUCCUUUUAAUAUUUAUAAACAGCAAAGUAUUUUUCUCUCCCCCACUUGAAAUGUAUAUAUUCACUCAUUAAAAGGCAUUGACGUGGCUGAGGUAAUGGCCUGUCGACAGAUUUACAGCAGGAACCAUCUCACUGCCUGCAGGCCUGUGCGUUUUAAUAUAAUUAAAAGGCUUCUGUUUGGAAUCUUAGCUAAUUAAUAUUCAUGCUUUCCUCCUUCCACCUGCCAUUCCCAAUUUGCUGUCUUUUUAGGAGAUUGAUCAUGGCCCAAUUAAUCCUACCACCAGUCAAAGCAAGGCAGGCAGGGGAAGAAAGGGGGAAAUGCCAUUGCAGUGCUGGCUUCCUAAUGAGAAAAGAGCAUGAAAGAAUGGAAAUCGCCUGGUUUAUGAGGAAAGAAUCUCUAUGAAUAUGGGAACUGGUAAGAGUGGAACCACUGACCAGGAAUUGUGGAUUAACUGCUCUCACUGAAGUGAGCUCAACUUAUUAAUCUUCGAGCGUCUUCACAAGUUUCAUUCAUGCUACAAAUCAGAACAGGAAACUGGAGAAGCAGGUAAUAUAUUUUUUUUUUUAUUUUUUAAAAGAGAAUAAAAGUGAAAAUGGCAGCAACAGGUAUUUCUCACUACUCAGUAACUGAGAAAACCAUCCACCAAUCGAAGUGUGGUCACAUAUUUUUCUUUGUCUCUGCCAUUCUUUAACACCCAGGCUUACGAAUGGAAAUUGUUUUGCCGGAAAAAAACAAAAACUAAAAACAAAAAAAAAA
rnacentral:lncRNA from 1 species